UCUCUCUCUCUCUCUCUCUCUCUCUCUCUCUCUCUCUCUCUCUCUCUCUCUCUCUCUCUCUCUCUCUCUCUCUCUCUCUCUCACUCACACUCUCACUCUUACUUUCACUCUCUCCUUCUCACUUUCUCAUCAUUCAAUACGAAACGCGGAGGCCAUGUGAAAGAAAUGAUAGACAAAACGAUCACGAACGAUUCUCCAUCUAUUUCUCUUUCUCUCCUCGUUAUCGUUCUCAUUUUAUCUAGUUUCUCUCUCUUUCAUAUCAUAAGUACAAUACAUCGUAGAAAAAAAUCUGAAAGCCUCGUGCAAAUUUCGUAUUGCAGACUGGGAAGGUUCGAAUUACUCUUUGCUAUUUGCAAAUCCCAUUUUUUCUUUUUAUCUUUCUUUUUCUCUUUCGUUUCUAUUCCCCGACGUAUAAAAAGCGUAAGCACUAGACUGCCCGAGCGUUUUCUGGUUGCCGCAAGAUGGUUUUUUGCCACGGUUAGAGAGAAUAUGGCGACUCAGUUUGCAGCAUCUUACCUUUUUUCUUUUUUUCCCUGUCUUCUAUCUCGAUGCUUCUAAGGCCUUCUUAGUACUUUUCUUUUUCUUUCAUUCUUUCUGUGUCUCUCUGUUUGUCUAUUUCUCUCUCUCUCUCUCUUUCUCUCGUUCACUUUCCCAAUCAAUCCAUCUUACACCACUACAUCAUCUUUUUUCUUGUUAAUAAUAGCAGGUACUAGCAUAGCUACCACAGUCGUACGUAUCGUUAAUAGUUAUAAUUAAGUUUAGAUAUUACUACAGGGUACUGUCGUGCUUCUCUUUCUCUCCUUCUUCUCCCUCUUUUUCUCUCUUCAUUUAUUUUCGUAUUUAUUUCUUUCUUUCCUUGUCUUUGUAUCAUCCUCAUACGUUUCUUUUCCUUUUUAUUUAACACUUCUACCCUUUUUAUUAAUUUUACUAGUAUAGGUUUUCGUAGUUAAAAAAUCAUAUAUUAUAAACCCCCAUUUCAACACGCCCCGUGCAUCCGGAGAGGACGGCUGCCGAGUGGCCCGUGCAUAUACACAUUUUAUAGGGACUAUUUUAUACUAAUCGCGGAGGAUAUAUCAUUAUAGGAUCCUCGUUCGUUUCAAAGUCAAUCUAAAUACGAUUAUCUUUUCCCGUGACUCAACGACAACACAACAACGACGACGACGAUGACCCACGACGAUGUCCCUUCGCGUACAUUUGAAAUCAUCGAGAUAGGCUGAGAUUCUCAAGUAAAAUUUAUUCGCUCGCAGAGGAAG